rnacentral:RNase_MRP_RNA from 14 species
CAAACAGGGAGGCCACUCCCAAAGAUGCUGCAGGGAAAGUCCCCGUGCCACAGAGCAGAGAGUGCUUGCAGGA